UUCCUGGUGGCUCAGAUGGUAAAGAAUCUGCCUGCAAUGCAGGAGACCUAGGUUCGAUCCCUGGGUUGGGAA
rnacentral:tRNA from 1 species